GAUGAACGCUGGCGGCGUGCCUAAUACAUGCAAGUCGAGCGAAUGGAUUAAGAGCUUGCUCUUAUGAAGUUAGCGGCGGACGGGUGAGUAACACGUGGGUAACCUGCCCAUAAGACUGGGAUAACUCCGGGAAACCGGGGCUAAUACCGGAUAACAUUUUGAACCGCAUGGUUCGAAAUUGAAAGGCGGCUUCGGCUGUCACUUAUGGAUGGACCCGCGUCGCAUUAGCUAGUUGGUGAGGUAACGGCUCACCAAGGCAACGAUGCGUAGCCUACCUGAGAGGGGGAUCGGCCACACUGGGACUGAGACACGGCCCAGAAUCCUACGGGAGGCAGCAGUAGGGAAUCUUCGGCAAUGGACGAAAGUCUGACGGAGCAACGCCGCGUGAGUGAUGAAGGCUUUCGGGUCGUAAAACUCUGUUGUUAGGGAAGAACAAGUGCUAGUUGAAUAAGCUGGCACCUUGACGGUACCUAACCAGAAAGCCACGGCUAACUACGUGCCAGCCGCCGCAGUAA
rnacentral:rRNA from 1 species